AUUUUUUUUAUUUUUUUUAAAAAGGACCUUAUCUUCACCUUACCUGGUUGUCCAAAUUAGGCAUAAUAAUGUGUUAAUUCCACGACUGUAUAUAUCGGUAUCGGUUGAUAUCGGUAUCGGUAAUUAAAGAGUUGGAACAAUAUCGGAAAGUCGGAUAUCGGCAAAAAGCCAUUAUCGGACAUCCCUAGUAAUAUGUGAUGAAACAAGUGGAAUAUUUUAGAGAUUUGUGGUUUACUUGAUCAAUGAAAAAUACAUAUUUGAUCAGUUCCACCAUUAACAAUGUACUUGACUAAUCAUAAGCAUGUAUGGAUUAGGAAAACAAUUAAAUGCUGAUUAAAUUAACCGUUGUGUUAUGAUCUGUUUAUGCUUUGCUUUGUUAGGCGUAGAUUUCAUCUUAUUUUGUAGAGUUUAUGUUUUGUUCUACUUCCUCCUUAGGUUCCUCCCUUUCCGGUGCUGGGCAGAGCUUGAACUCGCUCCUGCUGUCCAUCAGUAAUUAGUUAGCUCGUUAGCGCUUUUGCUGUGUUUGUUUGUUUCGAUUCUCCUGGACUUCUCUCCCCGUAUGUUCCACACCACUCCUUCAUUUGGUGAAAGCCAAGCAAAGACUAACAGACAGAAGACGCCGUCUUGAGUGAGGUGUCAGGCUAGUAUUAAAUAAAUCGAAGCCGUUCCCCAUGAAUGGUUUGAGGAACAUAGAGUUGGGGUUUCCAUCUAUGGUGUCAUUCAAGUCCUCAACUGACUCGGGAUCUGGAAUCUUUUCGUCCAGAUUUGGACCAAUGUUCACAAAGUACUUAUUGAAUCUUCCAACUACUUUGUUCAUAUGGCCAUUUUUUACAUUUCCAUCUAAGAAGUAUUUAGGAUAGUCCUUUUUAGCACCAUUUUUAAUAAUGCUAUUUAGGAUGCCCCAUGUUGCUCUCAUUUUGUUUUUGUUCUGGUCCAAUAAUUGACUGUAAUAUUAUUUUCUACAUGUUCAUAGUAUGCCAGUUAGCUUGUUCUUAUACGUUUUGUACGUGUUUUCUGCUUCU